rnacentral:rRNA from 1 species
CCUACGGGAGGCAGCAGUGAGGAAUAUUGGUCAAUGGCCGUAAGGCUGAACCAGCCAAGUCGCGUGAAGGAAGAAGGAUCUAUGAUUUGUAAACUUCUUUUAUAGGGGAAUAAAGGUAUCCACGUGUGGAUAUUUGCAUGUACCCUAUGAAUAAGCAUCGGCUAACUCCGUGCCAGCAGCCGCGGUACUACGGAGGAGGCGAGCGUUAUCCGGAUUUAUUGGGUUUAAAGGGUGCGUAGGUUGUUUUUUAAGUCAGCGGUGAAAGUUUGUGGCUCAACCAUAAAAUUGCCGUUGAAACUGGAAGACGUGAGUGUGUUUGAGGUAGGCGGAAUGCGUGGUGUAGCGGUGAAAUGCAUAGAUAUCACGCAGAACUCCGAUUGCGAAGGCAGCUUACUAAGACAUAACUGACACUGAAGCACGAAAGCGUGGGGAUCAAACAGGAUUAGAUACCCCAGUAGUC